UGCAGUCGAACGGGUGUCUUCGGGCACUAGUGGCGGACGGGUGAGUAACGCGUGGGAACGUACCCUUUGGUUCGGAAUAGCCUCGGGAAACUGGGAGUAAUACCGGAUAAGCUCUUCGGAGGAAAGAUUUAUCGCCAAAGGAUCGGCCCGCGUUGGAUUAGGUAGUUGGUGGGGUAAUGGCCUACCAAGCCGACGAUCCAUAGCUGGUUUGAGAGGAUGAUCAGCCACACUGGGACUGAGACACGGCCCAGACUCCUACGGGAGGCAGCAGUGGGGAAUCUUAGACAAUGGGGGAAACCCUGAUCUAGCCAUGCCGCGUGAUCGAUGAAGGCCUUAGGGUUGUGAAGAUCUUUCAGUGGGGAAGAUAAUGACGGUACCCACAGAAGAAGCCCCGGCUAACUCCGUGCCAGCAGCCGCGGUAAUACGGAGGGGGCUAGCGUUGUUCGGAAUUACUGGGCGUAAAGCGCACGUAGGCGGAUUGGAAAGUUGGAGGUGAAAUCCCAGGGCUCAACCUUGGAACUGCCUUCAAAACUCCCAGUCUUGAGGUCGAGAGAGGUGAGUGGAAUUCCGAGUGUAGAGGUGAAAUUCGUAGAUAUUCGGAGGAACACCAGUGGCGAAGGCGGCUCACUGGCUCGAUACUGACGCUGAGGUGCGAAAGCGUG
rnacentral:rRNA from 1 species